ACCUACGGGAGGCAGCAGUGAGGAAUAUUGGUCAAUGGGCGGGAGCCUGAACCAGCCAAGCCGCGUGAGGGAAGAAGGUACAGCGUAUCGUAAACCUCUUUUGUCAGGGAACAAAGGCGGGGACUAGUCCCCGGAUGAGGGUACCUGAAGAAAAAGCAUCGGCUAACUCCGUGCCAGCAGCCGCGGUAAUACGGAGGAUGCGAGCGUUAUCCGGAUUUAUUGGGUUUAAAGGGUGCGCAGGCGGCCUGUUAAGUCAGCGGUAAGAGCCCGGGGCUCAACCCCGGCUAGCCGGUGAAACUGGCGGG
rnacentral:rRNA from 1 species